UAAUAAAAUAAAUCAAAUAAUAUAAAUAUACAAAAAUUAAAAGAUGAUUAUAAAACCGCCACAAUUUACCACUUUCCCAUUCUCUCUCGCAGGGGCAUUUUCUUUUUCCUAUCCCAAAGAAUUUGUGAAAGAGAGCAUAGUGAUUUGUUUCGAUAAUAUUGCUCACUUUUUUAUUGGCAUGAUAUCAUUCUCUAAAAAAUUUGUUUCACCCUAAUCAUAUUCGUAAUCCUUUUGUUGCUCAUCAAUUUCAAUAAGUAAUUUGUGACUAUUGUAUUUUUGCAUAUAUUGACUUUUAUGAGAAGACAAUCUUUCAGUGGGAUCAUUUUCAACGACAAAUUAGAAGAUAAUUUGAAAAAAUUGAUCAAAAAAUUCUCCAGGUUUUGAGCUCCGGUCUGUGCGAUUGUUCUGCUUCUAUUUUUAAGGCUUCUGAAGGAGCUUGAGAGAUUCUUCGAGAACUGUCCGCUUUCAAAUGAAAAUCAACAAAAUCAAUUGGCUAGGAAAGCAGAGCUUGAAUCUAAGCAGGUCAGGAUUUGGUAUCAAAUCAAAACGACAUAAAUAAAGGGGUCUAUCAGAAACAACUUUUGUACCUCUGUGAUAGUUCUAUGAUAUGUGCACACGUUAUCUCUCAGGCCCCACUUUCGUUGAUUUACACUGGUUCCGGUCAUUGAAGUGUUUUGGAAUGCGACAUUGAAGAAGGCUUGGGUUCCUUAUUCAUCCAAGUUGGGUAGGUCCUCAACUUUCGAGGGCAAUACCACUAUCUAUCUUAAGGACUUGUUAUGAGUUUAAUACUCAUUCAUUUCUUUCCUUUUCAAUUGUGUAUUAUAUUUUCGUAUGACCUAUAUGUGGUCUUGUUGGA